GGCUCCCGCCCCAUCCCCGAGAGCGCAGCAUCCUCACCCUAAGCUCACCCACCUCGGGCCGCAUGGAAACCAGGGGCCCAGAGGACGGACACCGGCGUCCCCGGGAGAUGGGGGAAGGGAGCAAAGCUCCACCCGCUGACAGACUGUACUCUCCAACCUCCCGAUGGCGCGGAAGUGACGUGCUUCUAGAACGCUAUUGGAGGCAGCAGAAAUUGCUUUGCUGCAAGCACGGAAAUUGCUUUCCUUUCGGUUUCCGUUCCUGGCCCAUGUGAGAGACAGGCCGCUGAGAUGAGCGCGAUCCAACCUGGGGAGAGCCUUCUGGCUUUAAGCCAACAGGAAGAACUAGAGGAUUUGCCAAAAGAUUACCCCUUGAGCACCAGUGAAGAUGAGAGGGACGUUGAUGGAGAGAGAAAGCAUCAAAAGCUUCUGGAAGCAAUCAGUUCCCCUAAUGGAAAGAAUAGGUGGAAACUGGCUGAGAGAUCUGAGGCCAUUCUGAAGGUAUCAGAGUUCAGUGUCAGUUCUGAAGGAUCAGGAGAAAAGCUAGUCCUCUCAGAUCUGCUUGAACCUGUUAAAACUACAUGCUCAUUGGCCACUGUGAAAAAGCAACUAAAUAGAGUCAAAUCAAAGAAGACUGUGGAGUUACCCCUUAACAAAGAAGAGGUUGAGCGGAUCCACAGAGAAGUGGCCUUCAAUAAAACCUCACAAGCCCUCUCCAAAUGGGAUCCCAUUGUUCUAAAGAACAGGCAAGCAGAGCAGCUCGUUUUUCCCCUGAAGAGGGAGCAGUCAGCCUUUGCUCCCAUUGAACAUGUGCUCAGUGGCUGGAAGGCAAGAACUCCCCUGGAGCAGGAAAUUUUUUAUUUGCUCUAUAAGAAUAAGCAGCCAAUGACAGACCCUUUACUGACUCCUGUGGCAAAAGCUUCUCUCAAAGCCAUGAGCCUAGAAGAGGCCAAGAUUCGCAGAGCAGAACUUCAGAGGGCCCGAGCCCUGCAGUCCUACUAUGAGGCCAGGGCUCGAAGAGAGAAGAAAAUCAAAAGUAAAAAGUAUCACAAAGUUCUGAAGAAAGAAAAGGCUAAGAAAGCCCUAAAAGAGUUUGAGAAACUGCAGAAGGUCAAUCCUACUGCAGCACUGAAAGAACUGGAAAAAAUCGAAAAGGCCAGAAUGAUGGAGCGAAUGAGCCUUAAGCACCAGAACAGUGGGAAAUGGGCAAAGUCAAAGGCAAUCAUGGCCAAAUAUGACCUGGAGGCUCGCCAGGCUAUGCAGGAACAAUUGGCCAGGAACAAAGAACUGACACAGAAGCUCCAGGCAGCCUCCCAGAGUGAGGAAGAGGAGGGAGAUGUGGAGGAAGAGGGUGAACUCCUUGUCCCUGAUGCAGUGAAUGAAGUACAGAUGAAUGCAGACAGAGGGAACCCCUGGAUGUGCAGGAAUUACUCCAGUGAUGCUAAAGAGCACAAAAUGGAGAAGGACCCCGAAAAACUUCCAGAGCCUAUGGCCCCCAAGGCUUCUGAAAGUGAAGAAGAAGAAAGACCCCUGGCAGAGGAAGAAACUUUGUUAAAAGAAUUGGAGGAAAGGCGAUUGCUUAGAAAAAUGUCUGGGCUCAACCAGAACGCCAAGCUGGAGGGCAGACGAGAAACAGCAGAUUCUAGCAGCCAGGAAGUGCUGUCACAGAAACUCAGCAAGGAAAACCAUCAAUCCAGGAAGCAAAAAGUGAAUUCAAUUCUGCUGGUCCAGAGAGAGGAACCUAUCAAGGAAGAAGAGCCCCAGUUGUUCCAGAGGCCAGAGAGAGCACAGACUCUGGAAGAGCUAGAAGAGCUGAAUAAAGAAGGGUGUUUUCAAAAUAAGGAGCUUCCCAGACCUGUGUUACAAGGAGAGUGGAUACAGAGGAACGCAAAUAAUCAGCCUAAUGCCCCCAAAGAGAAGAAAAGGCAGGAGCAAAUGAUUGAACUGCAGAACCUCCUUACCACAAAGUCUCCUUCUGUGAAGUCUUUGGCAGUUCCAACGACGACAGAGGAGUUGGAAGACGAAGAGGAGAGAGCUCAAAAGCAGCUGAUAAAGGAAGCUUUUGCUGGGGAUGAUGUCAUCAGAGACUUCUUGAAAGAGAAGAGGGAAGCUGUGGAGGCGAGUAAGCCAAAGGACGUGGACCUGACUCUGCCUGGCUGGGGCGAGUGGGGUGGUGUGGGCCUAAAGCCCAGUGCCAAGAAGAGACUCCGGUUUCUCAUUAAAACCCCUGAGGGUCCUCUAAGAAAAGACAAGAAUUUGCCAAAUGUGAUUAUCAAUGAGAAGCGAAACAUCCACUCAGCAGCUCAUCAGGUGAGGGAGAGAGCACUCUCUGCCGCCUAGCUCUCUUGCUCCGGAGGAGUAUUCUCCUGCUCUGUGGUCAAGAGGGAUGUGUGAUCUUGACCACAGAAUCAAAGCUAUUCUUGUUUUCACUGACUGCCUCUGAGAUAGGUGUGUGUGAUUCCAUACCCGUUCACCCACCAUCAACAAUUUGAAAGGACCAUCCAGACCCCUAUAGGAACUACAUGGAACACCCAGAGGGCCUUCCAAAAGCUGACUAUGCCCAAGGUUGUUAUCAAGCCAGGCCAUAUCAUUAAGC